GUUUCUGGGAAGACCCCAGCUCAUAUUUCUACCAUUUAGUGUACCUGGCAUUCACACUAUUAGAAGGGCUAAACUGGAGUAACAAAUAAUUUUUACCUUCUCGAAAAAGAAAUGAGAGAGCAAAGCCCUAUUCCACUCAGAGGAAAGAGCAUGUGCAAAGGCUUUAAAAGCAGCAAGUUCGUGGAAUAACAUGGAACAAUGAGAAAUAGAAAGAAAGCUCUGAAAGUUGUUAGGAUGGUAGUAGGGAGGAGGAGUUCGGCGUGUGAACACCUCUGAAAUACCAAUGCCAGUGCUAUCAUAGACAUUAUCUUCUCACCUUGUUAGGAAGAUGGUCCUUGUAAACUUGAUCUUGGGCCGGGUUUGGUGGCUUACG
rnacentral:lncRNA from 1 species